rnacentral:rRNA from 1 species
AUUGCCCCAGUAACGGCGAGUGAAGCGGCAACAGCUCAAAUUUGAAAUCUGGCCCCCGGGUCCGAGUUGUAAUUUGUAGAGGAUGCUUUUGGUGAGGUGCCUUCCGAGUUCCCUGGAACGGGACGCCAUAGAGGGUGAGAGCCCCGUCUGGUCGGACACCGAUCCUCUGUAAAGCUCCUUCGACGAGUCGAGUAGUUUGGGAAUGCUGCUCUAAAUGGGAGGUAUAUGUCUUCUAAAGCUAAAUAUUGGCCAGAGACCGAUAGCGCACAAGUAGAGUGAUCGAAAGAUGAAAAGCACUUUGAAAAGAGGGUUAAACAGUACGUGAAAUUGUUGAAAGGGAAGCGCUUAUGACCAGACUUGGGCCCGGUUAAUCAUCCAGCGUUCUCGCUGGUGCACUUGGCCGGCCCAGGCCAGCAUCAGUUCGGCGCGGGGGACAAAGACUUUGGGAACGUGGCUCCCCCGGGAGUGUUAUAGCCCAUUGUGCAAUACCCUGCGCUGGACUGAGGUUCGCGCAUCUGCAAGGAUGCUGGCGUAAUGGUCAUCAGCGACCCGUCUUGAAACACGGACCAAGGAGUCGUCUUCGUAUGCGAGUGUUCGGGUGUCAAACCCCUACGCGUAAUGAAAGUGAACGCAGGUGAGAGCUUCGGCGCAUCAUCGACCGAUCCUGAUGUUCUCGGAUGGAUUUGAGUAAGAGCAUACGGGGCCGGACCCGAAAGAAGGUGAACUAUGCUUGUAUAGGGUGAAGCCAGAGGAAACUCUGGUGGAGGCUCGCAGCGGUUCUGACGUGCAAAUCGAUCGUCAAAUAUGAGCAUGGGGGCGAAAGACUAAU